rnacentral:rRNA from 1 species
GACGUAGGGCGCGAGCGUUGUCCGGAUUUAUUGGGCGUAAAGAGCUCGUAGGCGGUUUGUCGCGUCGAAUGUGAAAACCCGGGGCUCAACCCCGGGCCUGCAUUCGAUACGGGCAGACUAGAGUUCGGUAGGGGAGUCUGGAAUUCCUGGUGUAGCGGUGAAAUGCGCAGAUAUCAGGAGGAACACCGGUGGCGAAGGCGGGACUCUGGGCCGAUACUGACGCUGAGGAGCGAAAGCGUGGGGAGCGAACAGG